rnacentral:rRNA from 1 species
UACUACACUGCGUGAGCGGAACGAAAACAACAACACCUAAAAUGUGGAAUAUAGCAUAUAGUCGACAAGAGAAAUCUACGAAAAACAAACAAAACUUUCAACAACGGAUCUCUUGGUUCUCGCAUCGAUGAAGAGCGCAGCGAAAUGCGAUACCUAGUGUGAAUUGCAGCCAUCGUGAAUCAUCGAGUUCUUGAACGCACAUUGCGCCCCUCGGCAUUCCGGGGGGCAUGCCUGUUUGAGCGUCGUUUCCAUCUUGCGCGUGCGCAGAGUUGGGGGAGCGGAGCGGACGACGUGUAAAGAGCGUCGGAGCUGCGACUCGCCUGAAAGGGAGCGAAGCUGGCCGAGCGAACUAGACUUUUUUUCAGGGACGCUUGGCGGCCGAGAGCGAGUGUUGCGAGACAACAAAAAGCUCGACCUCAAAUCAGGUAGGAAUACCCGCUGAACUUAAGCAUAUCAAUAAGCGGAGGAAAAGAAACCAACAGGGAUUGCCUCAGUAGCGGCGAGUGAAGCGGCAAGAGCUCAGAUUUGAAAUCGUGCUUUGCGGCACGAGUUGUAGAUUGCAGGUUGGAGUCUGUGUGGAAGGCGGUGUCCAAGUCCCUUGGAACAGGGCGCCCAGGAGGGUGAGAGCCCCGUGGGAUGCCGGCGGAAGCAGUGAGGCCCUUCUGACGAGUCGAGUUGUUUGGGAAUGCAGCUCCAAGCGGGUGGUAAAUUCCAUCUAAGGCUA